rnacentral:rRNA from 1 species
UACGUAGGGGGCAAGCGUUGUCCGGAUUUAUUGGGCGUAAAGGGCUCGUAGGCGGUCUGUCGCGUCGGGAGUGAAAACUCAGGGCUUAACCCUGAGCCUGCUUCCGAUACGGGCAGACUAGAGGUAUGCAGGGGAGAACGGAAUUCCUGGUGUAGCGGUGAAAUGCGCAGAUAUCAGGAGGAACACCGGUGGCGAAGGCGGUUCUCUGGGCAUUACCUGACGCUGAGGAGCGAAAGUGUGGGGAGCGAACAGG